ACAUUUAUGAAGUAAUUUCUUAUAAAAUUUUGAAAAUCUCUCCUGGCAAGUUGAGCUUCAUUUCACUUGGCUAAACCAUAAUAUUGUCAAAAUUGUACCUAUUUAUUUUACAACAUAUACCCAAGCUCAAUUUGUCCCUCCCUCUCAUUCAUCUAUGGAAUUCUGGUCUCCAUGGUUACUGGUGUAACUGACAUCAGCCUAACUGUGCCCAUACAUUAAAAAUGGUGCAUCAGCACAGGGUAGACCUAACACUAGAAAAGCACCUAAGAAUCACUGACCCUGCACGGUCUCCAUGUCCUGGUGGUGUUUAGCAUCUUUAGAACCUUUUGUUCUUUGUGAUGGGUACAUGCUCUAUCACAAAGGUUGCCACACAGAGACAACCUUGUAAGAAGUGGAUUAAUUGCAGAUGGAAUUGUGUAACAGAGGUGAUCCAGACGAGGUGAUCCGCCCUUGAGCUACCUUCCAGGGUCAUGCACUUAGAAGCUCCUUAAAGACAGAAACCUCAUCAUAUCUGCUGUGGGGGACGCUGGUUUGUGACUGAAAGAAAAACAGUGAGCUUCCCAGGAAGCGAGGAUGUGCAGCAGCCAGAACAGUUGGUGUAAUGCACCAGAGGGCAGAUGAACGCAACCCACCAAACAUACAUCAGGGUUUACUCAAUCCAAGGCGCUGUUUUACGUGAAGAUGUGAAAAUGAGCCAGAUACAAGCCCCACCUCAAGCCCUCAAACUGGUUCAAACUGGUUCAAGAGCCACCCAGAGACAAAUCUCUAACAAAAGUCAGACUAUGCCAACUGUCCCCAUCAACUAAAAAAGCAAAAGAGAAAAGAAAUGAAUACACUGACCAGAGGAUGUCAGAACCUCACAGGCAACUUGCUCCCUAAUGUGGGACUAUCUGCUCCUCGCCGGCCUGCUAUUGUGUGUCACUUAACAAGCGUCCAGGCUUGUCACCAUGCCUCACAUUGACAUCUGUCAGCACCCUCAGUCCCUUACAUCAUUCAUAACCAACAGACGUCCUUGUGGUUUCACACUGACCCAGCCCAAUUCUUAGUAAAACCGCUUCCAGUUGACACUGGUGCUGAAUGGAAGAAACACACCAGGUCCUUUAGCUGUUAGAAACUCUGGAAUCUCUCUGUGGAUCUCUUCUCCCUUUGAUGCUGAGCAGUUUGAUCCUUCUCCUGACCUCUGAACUCCAACCCUUGGAAGAACUUGUCCCCCUUUCUAAUCACCUUCUUCUGUACAUCUUCAACAUUUUCCUUCCAAACCAUACAUCCCUGUGAGGAGUGGGUGUGGCAGCAGUCUCAAGAUGGCACCCGGGACUGCAGCCAAGUCUUAUGACUUGCACCUGACUUCCUCAUACACCUGAAAAUAAGCCACGACCAUCGCGAGAACUGCGCAGGUGCACCAUGAUGCAAGAUCGGACCAUAUGACGAGUGAUGAUUCUGGUCAAUGAACUGUUGUUACGUGGACUGGGCUGAUGGGGUGUGGUUGAGAGGAUAUAUAAGGGAUUGCGAUUGGGGGUGGGUUGUUGUUUUUUCCUGGAGAGAUUGAUUUCUGGAGAGAGAUUCAUGCAUGAUGUUGAAAGGUUCCUGAAUAAACUGCUUUGAGAAGUACGUAGUGUCGCUCUUUUCUGCUGGUUGGAAUCACCGUCCCCUGUCCAUGGGAUCAGCUCACUGCUCUGCAUGAAGAUGAAAACACAGUUGUGUGUGACACAGCGCUGAACAAUUCCCAUCCGAGGCAACGGACCAGGAAUGCUGCUCGGCCCAUCGUGUGACAAAAAUGAUCUCCCAAGACAGCUGAGCCCUGAUACAGUACUUCUCUCCUCCUUGCUUCCCUCCAAACUCUCUACACAGCACUUGAUAUAAAAUCUUAAAUGUGCCUCUCUCCAGAGGACCUCAGCUCUCCCAGCGCUGACUGACUUUCAACACUCUGUCGGCUCCUAACAUUUGCCAUUGAGACCUGACUGUGGUGGCUAAUCGUCAUUGUGGAUGUGACUGGAUUUGGAAUCGCCAGGUGACACAUCUGUUAACCAGGCCUGGGAGGAUGUCCAACCUGAAGAAAGUGCAUGCAACUGCGGGCAACACCAUCCUGUGAGCUAGGAUGUAAAGAUGGCACCAACAUUCUUCUCUACUUGCUGACCACAGACACAAGUGGCAUGGGAAGAUCCUGUUAGUGACUCUCCACACUGAUGGACUGUGUUCCCAAUAAAGGCUUCCUUCUCUCCACACUGAUGGACUGUGUUCCCAAUAAAGCCUUCCUUCUCUAAGUGGCUUUUGGGAGCCACUUUGUUACAUCUAUGAGAAGAGAAACUAACACACGAUCAUAUUCACACACUGUACUACUGCAUCCCGCAGACUUGCUGGUUCCCCACAA
rnacentral:lncRNA from 1 species